rnacentral:piRNA from 1 species
UGUCUAACAGUGAAAAACUGUACUGCCUAA